rnacentral:rRNA from 1 species
AACGAACGCUGGCGGCAGGCUUAACACAUGCAAGUCGAGCGCCCCGCAAGGGGAGCGGCAGACGGGUGAGUAACGCGUGGGAAUCUACCCAUCUCUACGGAAUAACGCAUGGAAACGUGUGCUAAUACCGUAUACGUCCUUCGGGAGAAAGAUUUAUCGGAGAUGGAUGAGCCCGCGUUGGAUUAGCUGGUGGGUGGGGUAAAGGCCUACCAAGGCGACGAUCCAUAGCUGGGCUGAGAGGAUGAUCAGCCACACUGGGACUGAGACACGGCCCAGACUCCUACGGGAGGCAGCAGUGGGGAAUAUUGGACAAUGGGCGCAAGCCUGAUCCAGCCAUGCCGCGUGAGUGAUGAAGGCCCUAGGGUUGUAAAGCUCUUUCGCCGGUGAAGAUAAUGACGGUAACCGGAGAAGAAGCCCCGGCUAACUUCGUGCCAGCCGCCGCAGUAAUAC